rnacentral:rRNA from 1 species
CGCAUCUGUGCAUGCAGCAUAUCAAUAAGCGGAGGAAAAGAAACUAACAAGGAUUCCCCUAGUAACGGCGAGUGAAGCGGGAAGAGCUCAAAUUUGAAAUCUUAAAGGGUUUCCCUUUACGAAUUGUAGUUUAAAGAAGUGUUUUCUGUUGAGGUUUUGGUAAAAGUUCUUUGGAAUAGGACAUCAUAGAGGGUGAGAAUCCCGUAUUUGACCUUUACUUUCAACUUCGUGAUACACUUUCAGAGAGUCGGAUUGUUUGGGAAUGCAGUCCAAAAUGGGUGGUAAAUUUCAUCUAAAGCUAAAUAUUGGCGAGAGACCGAUAGCGAACAAGUACCGUGAGGGAAAGAUGAAAAGAACUUUGAAAAGAGAGUUAAACAGUACGUGAAAUUGUCAAAAGGGAAGCGUUUGACACCAGUGUUGUUUUUCUGAAAAUCAAUUAAAGAACUGUUUAUGCUAAGUUGUUUAGACUUUAUCAGCUAUCUGCUUAGUUUUGAGCUUUUCUUUAAUGCACUUUUCAGUUAACAAGUCAACAUCAAUUUCUUUUGCUGUAAAAAAGCUUGAGGAAGGUGGCUUGAGAUUCGUCUUAAGUGUUUAUAGCCUCUUGCCUAUGCAGUCGGAGAGAUUGAGGUCUGCAGCGUAGAUCCUUCGGGGCUAAAUGCAUUUGUGCUAAGUUAUAGCAUUUUAUAGACAACUUGUUGACUAUGAUUUGUCUUGUAGCUUACUCGCUUAUGUUAUUUUACCUACGCUUAGGAUGUUGAAUCUGUGCGAGACUAC